GCCAGCCGAAGCAAAAUUGUGUCCAACAACGCAAGGGCAGGGAGGGGCCCAACUGAAGCUGCACGCACACGGACGACGGGCGCCUAUCUGAGGUGUGCUUCUCAAAGUAGUAGUGCGGUUCAAUGGGUGGCCUGGUUCCUGGUCGUCGUGCGUGCUAUGUGCUACAUGGGCCAAGGUAAUCUUCCUAGCCCCAGCACAAGCCCCCACUGCCGGUCUCAAGUCUUGAAGAUCAUCUGCGUCCAUUAGUACAGUAUCGGGAUCUGAUCAGGGUGUGCCGUCCUAGUCAUACAGCGCGCAGGCGGCUGAACAGGGGCGGCGCUUGCUGGCACGUAGCAUCGGGGCCGAUCGAUCGACGACCG
rnacentral:lncRNA from 1 species